rnacentral:misc_RNA from 1 species
AACGCACGAGACCUGCGGACCUGCGGAAGGAUCAUUAAGUAAUUAACAUAAUUCUAGGUUUCGGCCUAGUUUUAUCUAUUUACUGUGAACUGUAUUAGCCAUGGCGUUUGAGAGAUGCCUAGGUUCUAUAGGAUAGGAGCCUGGGAUGCUAAUCGAGCCAUGAUCAAGCUUAGGCUUGGUAUCCAGUUAUUAUUUACCAAAAAAAUUCAGUAUUAAUAUUGUAACAUAGACCUAAAAAAU